ACUACGGGAGGCAGCAGUGAGGAAUAUUGGUCAAUGGGCGGAAGCCUGAACCAGCCAAGUAGCGUGCGGGAUGAAGGCCCUACGGGUCGUAAACCGCUUUUGCACGGGGAUAACACCCUCCACUUGUGGAGGUCUGCAGGUACCGUGCGAAUAAGGGCCGGCUAAUUCCGUGCCAGCAGCCGCGGUAAUACGGAAGGCCCGAGCGUUAUCCGGAUUCAUUGGGCUUAAAGGGAGCGUGGGCGGGCGUUCAAGUCAGCUGUAAAAUCGCGCGGCUCAACCGCGCCCCGCAGUUGAAACUGGACGCAUUGAGUUCACAACAGGCAGGCGGAAUUCGUGGUGUAGCGGUGAAAUGCAUAGAUAUAACGAGGAACCCCGAUUGCGAAGGCAGCCUGCCGGGGUGCGACUGACGCUGAGGCUCGAAGGUGCGGGUAUCAAACAGGAUUAGAUACCCCAGUAGUC
rnacentral:rRNA from 1 species